rnacentral:rRNA from 1 species
UCCAGACUCCUACGGGAGGCAGCAGUGGGGGAUAUUGCACAAUGGGGGAAACCCUGAUGCAGCGACGCCGCGUGAGUGAAGAAGUAUUUCGGUAUGUAAAGCUCUAUCAGCAGGGAAGAAAAAAGACGGUACCUGACUAAGAAGCCCCGGCUAACUACGUGCCAGCAGCCGCGGUAAUACGUAGGGGGCAAGCGUUAUCCGGAUUUACUGGGUGUAAAGGGAGCGUAGACGGCGAUGCAAGCCAGAUGUGAAAGCCCGGGGCUCAACCCCGGGACUGCAUUUGGAACUGUGUGGCUGGAGUGUCGGAGAGGCAGGCGGAAUUCCUAGUGUAGCGGUGAAAUGCGUAGAUAUUAGGAGGAACACCAGUGGCGAAGGCGGCCUGCUGGACGAUGACUGACGUUGAGGCUCGAAAGCGUGGGGAGCAAACAGGAUUAGAUACCCCUGUAUCC